rnacentral:antisense_RNA from 1 species
CUUGAUCGAGCCCAGCCAGAGCGGCCGGUCCUCCGGCCGGUCCUGGCCGUAGGUGGCGAUGACGGCCUGCGCCUC